rnacentral:rRNA from 1 species
GUUAUAUGGUCAAGCGAAUAAGCGCACGUGGUGGAUGCCUAGGCGGUAGGAGGCGAUGAAGGACGUUGUAGCCUGCGAAAAGCUUCGGGGAGCUGGCAAACAAGCUUCGAUCCGGAGAUGUCCGAAUGGGGAAACCCACUGCUUCGGCAGUAUCCCUGUCUGAAUACAUAGGACAGUGGAAGCGAACCCAGGGAACUGAAAUAUCUAAGUACCUGGAGGAAAAGAAAUCAACCGAGAUUCUCUUAGUAGCGACGAGCGAACGGGGAACAGCCCUGUGCCCGUAUCGGGCGACUGCAUAGCAAAACGGCAUGGAAAGGCCGGCCAUAGAAGGUGAUAGCCCUGUAUGCGAAAUGCUUUCGUCAGUUAGGCACGAUGAGUAGGCCGGGACACGUGACAUCCUGGUUGAAUAUGGGGGGACCAUCCUCCAAGGCUAAAUACUACCUACCGACCGAUAGUGAACCAGUACCGUGAGGGAAAGGCGAAAAGAACCCCGGAGAGGGGAGUGAAAUAGAACCUGAAACCGCGUGCGUACAAGCAGUGGGAGCCUGGCUACGGCCGGGUGACUGCGUACCUUUUGUAUAAUGGGUCAGCGAGUUAAUUUCAGUGGCGAGCUUAACCGAAUAGGGGAGGCGUAGGGAAACCGAGUCCUAAAUGGGCGAUUCAGUCGCUGGGAUUAGACCCGAAACCGGGCGAUCUAUCCAUGGCCAGGGUGAAGGCAAGGUAAUACUUGCUGGAGGCCCGAACCCACUAAUGUUGAAAAAUUAGGGGAUGAGCUGUGGAUCGGAGUGAAAGGCUAAUCAAGCCCGGAGAUAGCUGGUUCUCCCCGAAAACUAUUGAGGUAGUGCCUCGUGUAUCACUCCUGGGGGUAGAGCACUGUUUCGGCUAGGGGGCCAUCCCGGCUUACCAAACCGAUGCAAACUCCGAAUACCAGGAAGUGCAAUCACGGGAGACACACGGCGGGUGCUAACGUCCGUCGUGAAGAGGGAAACAACCCAGACCGCCAGCUAAGGUCCCCAAAUUACAACUAAGUGGGAAACGAUGUGGGAAGGCACAGACAGCCAGGAGGUUGGCUUAGAAGCAGCCAUCCUUUAAAGAAAGCGUAAUAGCUCACUGGUCUAGUCGGCCUGCGCGGAAGAUUCAACGGGGCUAAGUUGUAUACCGAAGCUGCGGAUGCUCAGAUUUAUCUGGGCAUGGUAGGGGAGCGUUCUGUAAGCCUGUGAAGGUGUGUCGUGAGGCAUGCUGGAGGUAUCAGAAGUGCGAAUGCUGACAUGAGUAACGAUAAUGCGGGUGAAAAACCCGCACGCCGAAAACCCAAGGAUUCCUGCGCAACGUUAAUCGGCGCAGGGUGAGUCGGCCCCUAAGGCGAGGGCGAAAGCCGUAGUCGAUGGGAAGCAGGUUAAUAUUCCUGCACCAGCUAUUGCUGCGAUGGGGGGACGGAGUAGGCUAGGUCAUCCGGGCGUUGGUUGUCCCGGUUCAAGCGUGUAGGGAGUGUGGCUAGGAAAAUCCGGUUGCACAUUAUCCUGAGGCGUGAUGACGAGUUCCCAUGUGGAGCGAAGUGAUUGAUGCCAAGCUUCCAGGAAAAGCCUCUAAGCUUCAGGCAGUAGUUGACCGUACCGUAAACCGACACAGGUGGGUGAGGAGAGAAUCCUAAGGCGCUUGAGAGAACUCGGGUGAAGGAACUAGGCAAAUUGGUACCGUAACUUCGGGAGAAGGUACGCCCCUGCUGGUGAUGAGACUUGCUCUCUGAGCUGGUGGGGGUCGCAGUGACCAGGUGGCUGCGACUGUUUAUCAAAAACACAGCACUCUGCAAACACGAAAGUGGAAGUAUAGGGUGUGACGCCUGCCCGGUGCCGGAAGGUUAAUUGAUGGGGUUAGGGAAACCGAAGCUCUUGAUCGAAGCCCCGGUAAACGGCGGCCGUAACUAUAACGGUCCUAAGGUAGCGAAAUUCCUUGUCGGGUAAGUUCCGACCUGCACGAAUGGCGUAACGAUGGCCACACUGUCUCCACCCGAGACUCAGUGAAAUUGAAUUCGCUGUGAAGAUGCAGCGUUCCCGCGGCUAGACGGAAAGACCCCGUGAACCUUUACUACAGCUUUGCACUGAAUUUUGAGCAUGCUUGUGUAGGAUAGCUGGGAGGCUUUGAAGCUGGGACGCUAGUCCUGGUGGAGCCAACCUUGAAAUACCAGCCUGGCCUGCUCGGAGUUCUAACCUAGGUCCGUUAUCCGGAUCGGGCACAGUGUAUGGUGGGUAGUUUGACUGGGGCGGUCUCCUCCUAAAGAGUAACGGAGGAGCACAAAGGUACCCUCAGCGCGGUCGGACAUCGCGCAUUGCGUGCAAGGGCAUAAGGGUGCUUGACUGCGAGACAGACACGUCGAGCAGGUGCGAAAGCAGGUCCUAGUGAUCCGGUGGUUCUGUAUGGAAGGGCCAUCGCUCAACGAAUAAAAGGUACUCCGGGGAUAACAGGCUGAUUCCUCCCAAGAGUCCACAUCGACGGGGGAGUUUGGCACCUCGAUGUCGGCUCAUCACAUCCUGGGGCUGUAGCAGGUCCCAAGGGUAUGGCUGUUCGCCAUUUAAAGUGGUACGCGAGCUGGGUUCAGAACGUCGUGAGACAGUUCGGUCCCUAUCUGCCGUGGGCGUUGGAAAAUUGAAGGGAGCUGCUCCUAGUACGAGAGGACCGGAGUGGACGUACCUCUGGUGUUCGGGUUGUCACGCCAGUGGCAUUGCCCGGUAGCUAUGUACGGAAGGGAUAACCGCUGAAGGCAUCUAAGCGGGAAGCCCACCCUGAGAUAAGUUUUCCCUGGGGACUCGAUCCCCCUGAAGGGCCCUCGUAGACUACGAGGUUGAUAGGUCGGGUGUGUAAGCGCAGCAAUGUGUUGAGCUAACCGAUACUAAUUGCCCGUGAGGCUUGACCAUAUAACACCCAAGCAUUC